rnacentral:rRNA from 1 species
CCCUUAGAUGUCCUGGGCCGCACGCGCGUUACACUGAUGCAUUCAACGAGCUUAUAACCUUGGCCGAGAGGCCUGGGCAAUCUUGUUAACGUGCAUCGUGAUAGGGAUAGAUUAUUGAAAUUAUUAAUCUUGAACGAGGAAUUCCUAGUAAACGCAGAUCAUCAAUCUGUAUUGAUUACGUCCCUGCCCUUUGUACACACCGCCCGUCGCACCUACCGAUUGGAUGGUCCGGUGAAGCCUCGGGAUUGUGGUUCUUGCCGCUUUAUUGUAGCGUGACCGCGAGAACUUGUCUAAACCUUAUCAUCUAGAGGAAGGUGAAGUCGUAACA